UGAAUUUUACCUUUACUUUUCUGUGUCUUGCAUGCCUGCUAAACUAGGUUUAUUGAAUUUUACCCUACGCCUGUUUCCGUCGCUCUUUCAAGCGGCCUUCUUUCUGGACGAGAUUAGUAAUGAGAAGUUGUACAGGCAAACUCCCAAGUAGCAAGAGAAUUUAUAUUUCAUGUUUCAAGCUACUUGAAUGCGAACCCUUCCAUAAUACGCGAUGGCUAGUCACUCCACUGCUUUUUAUAGUGGCUUUGGAGGAUUUUUGGAAUCCGACAUGGAGAAGGCCACAUUGUCUGCAUUACAUAGAAAGGGCAACAAUGUCUGCAUGUUUUUGGUGCCGUUGGCGUUACCUACGGUGGUGCUGCAAAGAGCAGAAACUUUGAAAAGGCGUUGUUGGUACUGCGCACCGGAGUGAGAGGUUACUUGGUCUUGAACAAAAUUGACCUUGGUAGCCUACCUUAUGAAGAAAAUUGGUCCAACUGCUGUAUUGAAUUGUUCACAUUGUGGAUUGAGUCGUACACCAUCCUUGAAUUUUGCGGGUUCCUUUGCUAUCUGAAUAAAAUUGUUCGAGGUACCUUUAUCUAUUCGAGAAAAUUGGUGCAGCUAUUGCAUUGAAUUGUAUACAUCUUGAUUUGUUUUCGAAUUAAUUGUUGUAUCACAAAGUAUGCAUGUUAAGUUUUAACUGGACAGGUUUUACAGUCUAUAAGUUAAACUUAAAAGAACCUUGAAGUUUUAUAAUUACCUCACGGGGCUUUUUGUUUUU